UACGGGGGGAGCAAGCGUUGUUCGGAUUUACUGGGCGUAAAGGGCGCGUAGGCGGCCUGUGCAAGUCAGUUGUGAAAUCUCCGGGCUUAACUCGGAACGGUCAACUGAUACUGCUCGGCUAGAGUGCGGAAGGGGCAACUGGAAUUCUUGGUGUAGCGGUGAAAUGCGUAGAUAUCAAGAGGAACACCUGCGGCGAAGGCGGGUUGCUGGGCCGACACUGACGCUGAGGAGCGAAAGCGUGGGGAGCGAACAGG
rnacentral:rRNA from 1 species